CGUAGGUGGCAAGCGUUGUCCGGAUUUAUUGGGUUUAAAGGGUGCGUAGGCGGCUUUGUAAGUCAGUGGUGAAAUAUGGCAGCUCAACUGUCAAGGUGCCAUUGAUACUGCAGAGCUUGAGUACAGAUGAGGUAGGCGGAAUUGACGGUGUAGCGGUGAAAUGCUUAGAUAUCGUCAAGAACACCUAUAGCGAAGGCAGCUUACUAGGCUGUAACUGACGCUGAGGCACGAAAGUGUGGGGAUCAAACAGGAUUAGAUACCCUGGUAGUCCACACUGUAAACGUUGAUUACUCGCUGUGUGCGAUAUACAGUACGCGGCCAAGCGAAAGCGCUAAGUAAUCCACCUGGGGAGUACGCCGGCAACGGUG
rnacentral:rRNA from 1 species